GCUCAUCCAAGGAUCGCUUCGCAUCAUGCGCAACUACUGCACAAAAACGUUCGGCUCCGCCUUCUCUGUCACGGUGGUGCCGACGCUCAAAGACAACUUCUCCUACCUCAUCAACGACCACACCACCCACACACUCGCGGCCGUGGAUGUGAAUGCCGACUACAAGCCCAUUUUAACGUACAUCGAGGAGCACCUCAAGCAGCAGGGCAACGCCGACGUCACAUACACUUUCAGUACCAUACUCAGCACCCACAAGCACUGGGACCACUCGGGUGGCAACGCGAAGCUCAAGGCAGAGCUGGAGGCCAUGAACAGCACGGUGCCAGUGGUAGUGGUCGGCGGUGCCAACGACAGCAUCCCUGCCGUCACAAAGCCAGUACGCGAGGGUGAUCGGGUCCAGGUUGGGGAUCUCUCUGUCGAAGUGAUCGAUGCGCCGUGCCACACUCGCGGUCACGUGCUGUACAAGGUGCAACAUCCGCAGCACCCCAACGACGGUGUGGCCCUCUUCACCGGUGACACCAUGUUCAUCGCCGGCAUCGGCGCCUUCUUCGAGGGGGACGAGAAGGACAUGUGCCGCGCGAUGGAGAAGGUGUAUCACAUCCACAAAGGCAAUGACUACGCUCUCGACAAGGUCACCUUCAUCUUCCCCGGACACGAGUACACCUCUGGCUUCAUGACCUUCUCGGAGAAAACGUUCCCGGACCGCGCCAGCGACGAUCUGGCGUUCAUCCAGGCGCAGAGGGCCAAGUAUGCGGCGGCCGUGAAGACGGGCGAUCCGUCUGUGCCCAGCUCGCUGGCGGAGGAAAAGCGGCAGAACCUUUUCCUGCGUGUGGCUGAUCCGGCCUUUGUGGCCAAGAUGAACCAAGGCAACGCGCAUGCGCUGAUGAUGUACCUUUACAACGCCUGCGACUGAGCACGAACGGCACGCUUUCUGCUCAGGUGGAAAAAAUGGACAGGGGCCGUGGUGGAGUUGCGCGGCAGCGAGAGAUCCCCACCAGAGAAGCUCAGAGGGGCUCCCCUCAGCGAGGCGCCGGGAGGAAGGUGUGCGUGUGCGUGGGUGUGUGUGUGUGUGUGGGAGGGGUGAGUGGGAAGGCCGGAGAUGUCAUCGGGAGACGUUUGCAGAAAACGGUCGGACAUCUUUUUGCUACCUCCCGCUAAUCGAGCGCGGCAUCUGCGGCAUCCCUCUUCUCCCUGCCAUCGGCCAUCCUCAGACGCACCCGUCAUGCACCACCCUUCGUUAUCCUAAGCGCUCCUCCCAUUCAACCCACUCGUGCCCACGAAAGGCCCCUCGCCAUGAGCCACCCCCUCCCUCCUCCACAUUUCUUUGUGGCCUCGCGCUACACACGUCCGCACGUCUUCUCAUAAAACGCCGACGCGGCUCUUUGCCUCGCUGCCGUCCGCAUGCCGCCUUCGCACAAGUCGCUGAUGAUUGCCGACUCUAAGGUGGCGGCUGCGCGGGGCCGAAAAAGGCUUUCGUUGUCUCGCUUCUUCUGUGCCAAGGGUGUGUGGCAUGGCGACAAGAGGACGCGGAGGGGGACUGCGGGUGUGCUGGACGCCUUUUGAGGGAGAAGGUGAGCGCACUGCUCAUCUUGGUCUCCCACACACACUUGCUAUUUCUAUGCACUCGGAAAGAAGCAGGAACGUGCGCGCUGGCUGUCUUCUCAGUGCGCUUGAGCGCGCAACAC
rnacentral:misc_RNA from 1 species